rnacentral:lncRNA from 1 species
CAGAUGCCAAUUUCAAUUUACCAUUCGAGCUGAUACUCGCAACAACAACAAUUUCAAAUAAAAUUGGAGAACAACUAUUUUCUCUCACUGCGGCAGAAACUUAUGACAUAUGUUGUGUCAAGGUAAAUUACUCUACAAUGGAUAUCCCAAGUUUUAGUGUCUUUUGGAUGUAAUUGUUAAUAAAAUCUCAGUUUACCCGAUAAAAGAAACAACUGUGAGACUAUGUUAUGAUUCUAGGUCGCAUUGAAGUAUGAGCAUCUAAGUAGCAAAGUUGUAGCUAUGUUCCUCACCCUUUGGUAUGAGUGACAAGUUUAGAUACCGAACCUUUGUCUUUAACUUCUGAUUUUGAGUGCUUUUUUAUAGUACUUUGAUGUUUGAACAGUUUAGGAUUUAGUCAACCAAAAAAUAAAUACACCAGCUGAUUAUGCAUACACUUUCUCUUCUAACAAAAGAAUAUGAACAGAUAUCUCUAUUUUUCACAUUUUUUUGGUGUGUGCAGUGUGUGCAUACUCUCAUACAUUUAUUUAUAGAGUUUAAUGUUGGGGAAUAGGUACUUCUCAGAUUAUAUCUUUUUUUUCCCCUGAAAAACAAAUGACCUACUUUUGUAGGUCACCUUUUGUGUUUUCUAAAUUUGCCGCUUAUAUGUAUUUUAUGCACAUUCCUUUUAGCUCUUGAUCUUACUAUUCAAGUUACUGCUUCUUCCUAAAUCUUUUCUCCCCUGGUCUCUUAUGCAUCUUUCCAUAUUAUUUACAAUUCCUAAUUUAGUUAUUCUUUUAAAUUUGUGUCAAAUUCCCUUUGUUGUUCGUCUUAAUUUGUACAUGUGCGAUCUGAAAUCUCUCUCCCAUGCUUAUUUUGGGGUUAUGUGGUUUCUUUUCCACAUACUUCCUCUACUUGUUCAACUGCUGUGGGUUUUCCCAUGUCACAAAAGAUAACAAUUGAUUACUUUACAGCUACGCAGAUACUUUUUGCUAAAUGCUGUCAAGAAGCUACGAAGAUCGCAAAUGCUGGUAAGAAGCUAUGUAGAACACAGAUCGCAGAACAGAUCGUAAAUAGUAUAGCAUGUAGGCAUGCUGUAUAAAUGAUGCAAUCAUGAAUAUAAACAAGAUUGCAAUUGACAAUCAUAUACUAUAUACCUGUAAAUAAUACGUCAGUUAGCUAAAAAAAUUAUUUCAAUGUUGGGCUCGGGCUAGCACGGGCCAUCACUAUCUAGUAUAUAUAUAAAGGAGACUAUU